CCCCACUAUUUUUAGUCGUAAAUUUAAUUUGAUUUACCAGAGUACUACGAAUAAAAAGUUUAAAACUCAAAGAGCUUGGCGGUGUUUUAGACCUCUCAGGGGAACCUGUCUCAUAAUCGACAAUCCACGUUAAACCUGACCUUUAGUGGCAAAUCAGCUUGUAUACCGUCGUCGUCAGGUAACUUCUUAAAAUGUAGUAGUUAGCUCGAUAACUUUAUUAGUUAGGACGUCAGAUCAAGGUGCAGCUAAUAGAAAGGGGAGGAUGGGUUACAAUUAGAUAUUUAUAAUUACGGAAAACACUUGAAAUUAAGUGUCUAAAGGAGGACUUGAAAGUAAUUUUGAUUAUAUAAACGGAAUGAAUAAGGCUCUGAAACGUG
rnacentral:rRNA from 1 species